GUAAAGGGGUUUCAGUCUAGCAAAAGUUAUUAGAAUCUUGAAGUAGGGCACCAGUGAAUGAUCUCAAUUAAGUGAUAAAGAGGCAAAUUCAUCGAAUUUGGAGAAGUCAAUUGAUUAGAUUGAUCAUCACUGAAAGCAACCAAGACUAGCAUGCAAAACCAGUUCCACCACUAAUUGUAGAAAUAGAUGUGGCCGUCGUAGAUGUAGUAAUUGCAGCAACUAGGAACAAAACUGCAUGCAGUUAUUACAGUAGUGGUAUCUUCUGGACUAACCUUAAAGUAGGUUAGGGUUUAUAUUGCAAAACUUUUCAAAUUAUUAACAGCUUUCAUGUUGGAUAGAAAUUAAUGCAAUUCCCUAAUAUUUAAACUACAUUUGAAUUUCGUGUUA